GUUUUCACCUCUAACUAAACUAACCCGUUUGCAUCUACAUAUACUAAAGCAAAAGAAGCAAAAGGAGGAAAAAGAAAAGGUUAACAAAGAGCAUGGAUAGUGUCCAAGCAAGGAACCUUGGGGAGAUGCUUUGUGGGGAGGAAGGGAAAGCAAUGCAUUGCCCAUUACACCCCCACCAUCCAUCUAUCGAUCUGCCAUGGCAUUCUCAGCUCCUCCGAAAGCCGGAGCUCUGCUGCCACCGGCGUGAGACCGUCUUCAGUUUCGAGCAAGGGGAUCAGCAACUUUUUCGGGGAGCGCGGGGUGUUCAUCUAAUCUGCAGCCGAUGGGCUAGCUAGAUAUACAUGCCUGGCCGUCAUGGUUCUUUUCUACUGCUGGCACUAGUGGCAGUAGCAGUUACUAAUUUCUUUCGAGAAGAUCAAAAUGGGUGAUACUAGGAGUAUAUUGAAAAAAGGAGUGCAAAAAAUGCUUAGGGAGGUUUCCAAGAGGCUAUCUCGGGUAGCAAACAAAGUCUACAGAAGGGCGUAUGGGUGGAAUCCUUCUGCUCAAAGACUGUGCUUUGUCUCUACCUGAAAUCGGGCGGCUCUGUAGUGCGUUCAGAUUAUAGACUUGCUUUACUAUUCUGGCUGAUGUGCAAAACAUAAUAGAUGUUAAAAGUCUGUUUCUCUCCCAGUAGUGGGUGGCUUGGCAUCCUAUAGAUGUGGUUAUAUGUCUAGGAUGUAGGUUGUUCUUCAGUUUCGUGAGGUGAUGCAUCAGGUCCGAGAAAAUGUGUGGGGUGUUGAAUUUGUUGUAUCCAGACUCCUAUUUUCAUUAUGAAAAUGGGGGCCAUGUGGCCCCUUUUAUCGAAAAAAGUACA